rnacentral:rRNA from 1 species
UACGUAGGGCGCAAGCGUUGUCCGGAAUUAUUGGGCGUAAAGAGCUUGUAGGCGGUUUGUCGCGUCUGCUGUGAAAAUCCGGGGCUCAACCCCGGACUUGCAGUGGGUACGGGCAGACUAGAGUGUGGUAGGGGAGACUGGAAUUCCUGGUGUAGCGGUGGAAUGCGCAGAUAUCAGGAGGAACACCGAUAGCGAAGGCAGGUCUCUGGGCCACUACUGACGCUGAGAAGCGAAAGCAUGGGGAGCGAACAGG